rnacentral:misc_RNA from 1 species
AACGCACAUUGCGCCCUCCGGUAUUCCGGAGGGCAUGCCUGUUCGAGCGUCAUUACAACCCUCAGGCCCCCCGGCUUGGUAUUGGGCGUCACCGGCGACGGUGUGCCUCAAAAUCAGUGGCGGUGCCGUCUGGCUCUAAGCGUAGUAACACUCUCGCUCUAGGUGCCCGGCGGUCGCUGGCCAGCAACCCCAUUUCUUCUCAAGGUUGACCUCGGAUCAGGUAGGGAUACCCGCUGAACUUAA